rnacentral:tRNA from 1 species
GCAUUAGUAGCUCAGCCCAGAGCGCCGGUCUUGUAAACCGGAGGCCGGGGGUUAAAGUCCCCCCUACUGCU